GGGCGCUUGGUCUAGGGGUAUGAUUUCCCCUUCGCAGAUCACGUGGACUUGACAUCUUGUCACGUGAUUUUGGAUGGGGAAGGUCGUGGGUUCAAUUCCCACAGUGUCCA
rnacentral:tRNA from 1 species